GUUCCUGUGGUUGAGUCAGACAACGGCGGCUUUUCAGGUCGCAGGUCUUGGAGAGAAGCCAAGCAGGAAUU
rnacentral:tRNA from 1 species